GCAAGGUGAAGGUCGCAGAACUGGCUGCAGCAAUGUGCACCGUGGAGCCUCGCCAACUCCGGGGCUGUAUUCUGUCCACAAGGGUCAGACCCAGUCACAGACAUGCAAUCCACCUCUAUUUGAAGGACACCGCAUGAUCUGACGAUAGUGCCCCUCUACCUUCACCUCGUCAAGGUGUCCAGUGUACAUCAUUGUGGUGUUUAAUGCUAGAUACUGGGGAGCCCCCCAGCAACAUUCCUGGAGCCUCAGUUUGGAGGAUGGUCCCAGUCUGACUAGAACAUUUUCAAGAGCUCUUGUAAGGGUCAUAAAAUGCUGAAGUUCUUUGGGAAGACACAAGGACUCAGCCCUCAGAGAGAGACAGGUGCCUGCUCUUGGAGAGGAAUGAGCCCAGGAGUGAGGGGUGAUGCAGGCCUGAGCCGGUACCUGACUCCAGGCAGAAGCAGUACUCCCGGGGUCCCAGGGCAGCGGAGGCGUUGCAGAAGAUGGCAAAGCUCGUCAGGAUGGUCCCCUCCUCUGGGGCAACGGUGCAGGAGGUGGGGUCUGUGACAAGAGACUGGAGGAGCCUUCCCACCUGUGACUCUGAUCCAGGCGGCCUGGCCGUGGAUCCUCAGGAAGGAGCUGUUGAGCAGCAGGGUGGAGGUGUUGCUCUGAAGGAGGAUUGAAGAACGCGGCCAGAAUCCUCGGAGUCUGCAGGCCUCAGGGAGGGGCUCGGCCUGAAAGAGAGCACAGCCCAGGACCCCUAAGGCUGCAGCCAGGCCACAGGACCCCCCUGGACAGUGGCUUCUGAACUGGGGAGGUCUUUCGGAUUUGUCUCCGAUGGAUGGACAGCAGCACCGGC